UACGUAGGGGGCGAGCGUUGUCCGGAUUUAUUGGGCGUAAAGAGCGUGUAGGCGGCUUGGUAGGUCUGCUGUGAAAACUCAGGGCUUAACCCUGAGCUUGCAGUGGGUACGGGCAGACUAGAGUGCGGUAGGGGAGACUGGAAUUCCUGGUGUAGCGGUGAAAUGCGCAGAUAUCAGGAGGAACACCGGUGGCGAAGGCGGGUCUCUGGGCCGUAACUGACGCUGAGGAGCGAAAGCAUGGGGAGCGAACAGG
rnacentral:rRNA from 1 species